rnacentral:rRNA from 1 species
GACGAACGCUGGCGGCGUGCUUAACACAUGCAAGUCGAACGGUGAAGCUCCAGCUUGCUGGAGUGGAUCAGUGGCGAACGGGUGAGUAACACGUGAGCAACCUGCCCCUGACUCUGGAAUAAGCGCUGGAAACGGCGUCUAAUACUGGAUACGAGAAGGGUCCGCAUGGGCACUUUCUGGAAAGUUUUUCGGCUGGGGAUGGGCUCGCGGCCUAUCAGCUUGUUGGUGAGGUAAUGGCUCACCAAGGCGACGACGGGUAGCCGGCCUGAGAGGGCGACCGGCCACACUGGGACUGAGACACGGCCCAGACUCCUACGGGAGGCAGCAGUGGGGAAUAUUGCACAAUGGGCGAAAGCCUGAUGCAGCGACGCCGCGUGAGGGAUGACGGCCUUCGGGUUGUAAACCUCUUUCAGCAGGGAAGAAGCGAAAGUGACGGUACCUGCAGAAGAAGCACCGGCUAACUACGUG